CUCUUCGCAUAAAUUGGAACUGAUGAGACCCCAGCUUUGGAGACGUUCUUUUGUGGCUGUAUGAAAUGUCCUUAUCCUUGAGAUUUGUACUGUUUUAUGUGUAUUAAACAUCAUGUUAUUAAACCACGGUUUGGUGAGUACGGUCGGCAUUAUUGAAAAGUGUUUAAUUCCUUUGUUUUCAGAUAUUGUUCGGUAUUCUGUAUUCCAUUCAUUCAGGAUCUGUUUUUUCUGUACUAGUAGUGCGUCACCUAGGGUUUGAAGAUUUUUCGUCAAAGGAUUCAAAAUUCACGUCGGAAUCGGAAUCAUCCCUUCCGCCGCGGUCAUCAUCAGGAUCCCUUCUACUCAUCUUGGCUUCAUGCCAAACCUAACCUAUAUUUUUUUUUCUCUUGAAAAUCUAACCUAACCUUAAAUAAAAUCUUAAUUUACAGUAUAAUAAAUAUUUACAGUUGGCAGUUAUUAGAUAUAAUAAAGAAAUUGAUGGAACUACA